rnacentral:rRNA from 1 species
AUGGAUUUCAAGGAAUUUAACUAUGAAAAUUGCUCUUUGAUUGAUUGUAUUUCCUUGUUGCAAUCCGUGCUAAAUUCUCCUCACGCUUAUAGUCAAAAUAAAGCGUUUACUAAACAUAUCGUUGAUGCCUUGAUGCAAUCUUAUGAAGAAAAACUUGACUUGGAAGUUUAUAUCCCUAGAAAACUUUAUGAUGAGUGGGAACCAACUAUUAAAAUUAAAAUUAAAGAUCAUGAAUGCUAUGCUUUAUGUGAUUUGGGUGCUAGUGUUUCCAUGAUUCCAAAGACUUUGUGUGAUUUGUUAGGUUUCCGUGAUUUUGAUGAUUGCUCUCUAAACUUGCACCUUGCGAAUUCCACUAUUAAGAAACCUAUGGGAAGAAUUAAUGAUGUUCUUAUUGUUGCAAAUAGGAAUUAUGUGCCUGUAGAUUAA